AAAUGAAGGGUUAAGGAGGUUUAACCCUUCAUUAACCUGCCAAACAGAAAAAUUAGCCCAAAGGUUAAGUAACCCGCACGUGACCUCAAAACUCCAUUUAACCCGUGAAUUGAAGGGUUAACUGUUCCUCGUGAGAAGGCGGAACAAGGCUUGUUCCGCCUUCUCACGCGAGGGUAGGCGGCGGAAUUUCCCCCCCAAAUUCGCAGCAAGCUUCUUUUCCCCCAAAUUCGCAGCCAGCUUCUUUUCCCUAGCAAGCUUAUUUUCCCCCAAUUCGCAGCAAGUUUCUUUUCCCCCAAUUCGCAGCAAGCCCCAGUCUCAGCCUCCAAAAAGAGAUAUGAUGUCACGAGAUGGCGAUCGUGGAAUUGGAUGGUCUCCCGGCAUCCAAACUAUUAUUAAUAGGAAUAUUUUAGGGGGAACAAGCAAAAAGAGAGGAAUUUCAAGCCGAUUGGGGAUUUCUAGUGACGGGAGGCAAAGGAGAUUCGAGCUAUUAAUAGGAAUAUUUUAGGGGGAACAAGUAAGAAGAGAUGAAUUUUUAGCCGAUGGGGGAUCUCAAGUGACGGGAGGCAAAGGAGAUUCGAGGCAACUACUAUGAUUUCUUUAUCUUCAUCAGAAGAUUUGCUUCAAUUCGACCCUCGACAAUCUAAGAAAUGAUGGAGAAGCAUUCCUUUGUCCAAGCAAGGGCUAACAUUCUUAUUAUUAAGCUUCCAUCAAUUCGUAAGGUUGCCUUGAGAAUGGUAUCAAUCGACGCUGCAGCAGAAGAGAAUCAAAACAAAUGCUCUGAAGAAAACUAUAGACACCUCAUUACAUUGUCUGAUGUUAAUUAGAAAAAAAAAAUUACAGAGGAACCAGGCUUCAUUGAACUAUGCACGGCGACUAGAACGCUUGAAACUAUUGAAGAAUGACAAGCACAAGAUCGUUCAGAAGGGACAAACCCAAUAUUUUUAAGUCAUGGAGAAUUUGGAGCUUCUAAGGAUUUGUUAUUUCAGGUCUAAGCAUCCAUGGCGAAGAUUGUAAGUUCGAUUUGCAAUCUAGUCUAGUCUAUGAUGAUGCUAAAACUUUCGGCAUUGAGGGAGUGGUGUAUGAAAAAAAAUGUCAUCGGAACAUUCAAGGUUAAUUUGUAUUUUGUUAAGGUAAAAAUCCGUGUUAUGUAGAUUCGCAUUACGAUUGUUAUUGAGGAUAAGUCUGUGUUUAUUUAGUCUAA